rfam:Anolis carolinensis unplaced genomic scaffold chrTn0274, whole genome shotgun sequence.
CCAAAGGCUCUUUUAAGAGCCACCCAUAAAUUCAAAGAAAGUGCUU